GGUCGCUUAGCUCAGUUGGUUAGAGCGUGGUGCUAAUAGCUUUCAUCCUUGAUACGCCAAGGUCGCGAGUUCGACCCUCGUAGUGACCA
rfam:Ascochyta rabiei strain ArDII scaffold_286, whole genome shotgun sequence.